AGUUAAUUGAAAUUUAGCAUAUAAUAAUAUUUAAUUUUAUUUUUUAUUUUUGACUGACGCCAAACUACGUGUGGUGUCUUGAUUUUCCAAUUCACCAACAAUUAAUAUGGCAUCAGGCACUUGUUGUGGUUAUGAUCCUCGGAGUGGAUCGAUAUUUAUUUUAGUUAUCGGUAUUAUAGUAACUUUGAUGUCACCAUUCAUGGUGUCAUUGAUGAAUGAUUAUUUGAUAAUUAAAAACAAAAGGGUAGCAUUGAAAUUUGAUGUCAUACCACUGUGCU